rnacentral:rRNA from 1 species
UACGGAGGGUGCAAGCAUUAAUCGGAAUUAUUGGGCGUAAAGGGCGCGUAGGCUGGAGAAUAAGUCAGAUGUGAAAUUCCGGAGCUCAACUUCGGAGCUGCAUUUGAAACUAUUUUUCUAGAGGAUUGACGGAGAAAACGGAAUUCCACGUGUAGCGGUGAAAUGCGUAGAUAUGUGGAAGAACACCUGUGGCGAAAGCGGUUUUCUAGUUAAUAACUGACGCUGAGGCGCGAGAGCAAGGGGAGCAAACAGG